rnacentral:rRNA from 1 species
GGAGUUUGGGCCGUGUCUCAGUCCCAAUGUGGCCGUCCGCCCUCUCAGGCCGGCUACUGAUCGUCGCUUUGGUGGGCCGUUACCCCGCCAACUGGCUAAUCAGACGCGGAUCCAUCUCGUACCGAUAAAUCUUUUCCCUCAUGACCAUGCGGUCUCGUGGGCUUAUGCGGUAUUAUCAGUCGUUUCCAACUGUUAUCCCCCAGUACGAGGCAGGUUCUCCACGCGUUACUCACCCGUCCGCCACUAAGAUAAAACAAGUUUUGACCGAAGUCUCGACAGCGUUUCAUCUCCGUUCGACUUGCAUGUGUUAGGCACGCCGCCAGCGUUCAUC